GUGGAAGCAGAUCCAGUGAUCGGAGACGAACAUCCGGCCCUGGUACAGGAUGUCUUUCUGCAGGGCGCAGGUGUAACCUGCAGGCAGGCCUGGACGGAACCAAUCAAUUGGUGAUCGGACUCACCUGGCUGUAGUGGAACCUCUUCCUGUCUAUCUUGGACUCCGGGUCGAUCUGGACCUCAGUCAGCAUGGAGUUGUCUAAAGUUUUUGACCUGCAUGGAUCAACAGGGAGAAUUAUCACCCAAAAUAAAAAAUACAGAUUUAUUCCUCCA